rnacentral:rRNA from 1 species
GUGAGGAAUAUUGGUCAAUGGGCGAGAGCCUGAACCAGCCAUGCCGCGUGCAGGAAGACGGCCCUACGGGUUGUAAACUGCUUUUGUGUGGGAAGAAAACGUUCUACGUGUAGGACACUGACGGUACCAUAUGAAUAAGCAUCGGCUAACUCCGUGCCAGCAGCCGCGGUAAUACGGAGGAUGCGAGCGUUAUCCGGAUUUAUUAGGUUUAAAGGGUGUGUAGGCGGACGAUUAAGUCAGUGGUGAAAUCUCAGAGCUUAACUCUGAAACUGCCAUAGAUACUGGUUGUCUUGAGUACAGUUGAAGUAGGCGGAAUGUGUAAUGUAGCGGUGAAAUGCUUAGAUAUUACACAGAACACCGAUUGCGAAGGCAGCUUGCUAAGCUGUUACUGACGCUGAUGCACGAAAGCGUGGGGAGCGAACAGGAUUAGAAACCCCAGUAGUCC